rnacentral:rRNA from 1 species
GACGUAGGAGGCGAGCGUUGUCCGGAUUCAUUGGGCGUAAAGGGCGCGUAGGCGGCCAGCGCAAGUCAGUUGUGAAAUCUCCGGGCUUAACUCGGAACGGUCAACUGAUACUGCGCGGCUAGAGUGCAGAAGGGGCAACUGGAAUUCUCGGUGUAGCGGUGAAAUUCGUAGAUAUUCGCAAGAACACCAGUGGCGAAGGCGGACUGACUGGUCCGGUUCUGACGCUGAGGCGCGAAAGCGUGGGGAGCAAACAGG